rnacentral:rRNA from 1 species
UACGUAGGAGGCAAGCGUUGUCCGGAAUUACUGGGCGUAAAGAGUGUGUAGGCGGUGCUCUAAGUUCGGUGUGAAAUCUCCUGGCUUAACUGGGAGGGUGCGCCGGAAACUGGAGUGCUCGAACGUGGGAGAGGAAAGCGGAAUUCCUGGUGUAGCGGUGAAAUGCGUAGAUAUCAGGAGGAACACCAGAGGCGAAGGCGGCGACCUGGACAAGUACUGACACUCAACUACGAAAGCGUGGGUAGCAAACAGG